rnacentral:rRNA from 1 species
UAGGGAAUCUUCGGCAAUGGGGGGAACCCUGACCGAGCAACGCCGCGUGAGUGAAGAAGGUUUUCGGAUCGUAAAGCUCUGUUGUUAAGGAAGAACGAGUGUGAGAAUGGAAAGUUCAUACUGUGACGGUACUUAACCAGAAAGGGACGGCUAACUACGUGCCAGCAGCCGCGGUAAUACGUAGGUCCCGAGCGUUGUCCGGAUUUAUUGGGCGUAAAGCGAGCGCAGGCGGUUAGAUAAGUCUGAAGUUAAAGGCAGUGGCUCAACCAUUGUAGGCUUUGGAAAAUGUUUAACUUGAGUGCAGAAGGGGAGAGUGGAAUUCCAUGUGUAGCGGAGAAAUGCGUAGAUAUAUGGAGGAACACCGGUGGCGAAAGCGGCUCUCUGGUCUGUAACUGACGCUGAGGCUCGAAAGCGUGGGGAGCGAACAGG